AACGAACGCUGGCGGCAUGCCUAACACAUGCAAGUCGAGCGGGCACUUCGGUGUCAGCGGCAGACGGGUGAGUAACACGUGGGAACGUACCCUUCGGUUCGGAAUAACGCUGGGAAACUAGCGCUAAUACCGGAUACGCCCUAUUGGGGAAAGGUUUCCUGCCGAAGGAUGUGCCCGCGUCUGAUUAGGUAGUUGGUGGGGUAAUUGCCUACCAAGGCGACGAUCAGUAGCUGGUCUGAGAGGAUGAUCAGCCACACUUGGACUGAGACACGGCCCAGACUCCUACGGGAGGCAGCAGUGGGGAAUAUUGGAAAAUGGGCGCAAGCAUGAUACAGCCAUGCCGCGUGAGUGAUGAAGGCCUUAGGGUUGUAAAGCUCUUUUGACCGGGACGAUAAUGACGGUACCGGAAGAAUAAGCCCCGGCUAACUUCGUG
rnacentral:rRNA from 1 species